UGCCCAGCAACUUCUAACCCUACCUUCUCCUGGUACUGGCCGGGGUAUGAGUAACCUUAGGGUAGA
rnacentral:ribozyme from 1 species